UACAGAGGUCCCGAGCGUUGUUCGGAUUCACUGGGCGUAAAGGGUGCGUAGGCGGUGAGGCAAGUUGCAGGUUAAAUCUCAGGGCUCAACCCUGAAAGUGCCUGCAAUACUGCUUUGCUAGAGGACUGUAGAGGAGACUGGAAUUCACGGUGUAGCAGUGAAAUGCGUAGAUAUCGUGAGGAAGACCAGUGGCGAAGGCGAGUCUCUGGGCAGUUCCUGACGCUGAGGCACGAAGGCUAGGGGAGCAAACGGG
rnacentral:rRNA from 1 species